CACGGCGUCGCCAGCCGGCGCCGGAGCGCGAGCCGAGCCUUCUUCAAGUUCCAUCUUCCGGAUCGGGUUCCGGCAUUCUGGGAGAGAGGGAAGGCUACUGCAGCCAAAAAACUGGGAGAGGAGAAGGCUGCAGGAAAAGUAACACAAUGUGAUCUCUACACCCCACAUGGGAACUCACAAGAUCAAGAGUGGCAUGCUCUUCAACCCAACCAGGCAGGCGUCCCUUGUAACUCCUUUUUCACUACUGUGACCAGGUAAAUAAGGCGUUUGCUCAAAAUUGAAACUGACUAAAAGGUUGCAAAAUCUAAAUUUUCCUCCCAUUCCUGUCUCUCGGGGCGGGGGUGAGGGGGCUAUUUCCCUUGGAUAGCAAUGCGCCAUUUUAGCAGGUUCUUCUCUUUCCUCCCAGAGAUUCUCCGCAUGUAGGUAUCCAUACACUUACUUGAAUAUAUAUGUGUAUGGCUGUAUUAUAUAAACUGUAGCACACAAAUCCUUUAGCACCUGACUUCCUCCACUUAAAUACAGUGUAUGUCCUAGAGAUUAUUCAGCAUAGUGUUACAUAGAGCUGCUUCUUUUUUUAAUGGCUGUCUGCAUGUGCACCAUGUUAUGUAUCAUAAUAGGUGAUGUUUGACUUGUUCCCUAUUGAUGGCCAAUUAGUUUUCCCCUGAUAAUGUUGCUUUUAAAACAAAUCUGCUGCAAAUCAAUUUGUAUGCAAGUCAUCCGAUAAAUGUGCCAGUAUGUCUGUAGGAAGGAUUCUUAGAAGAAUGUGACUGUUCAGUUUGGAUAGUGCGAAAUCGUGCUCCGUAGAAGUGGUGCCAGUCCUACCCACCAGCAGUGUGUGGGCAUCUGCUACCCUCCAUCAUUGGGCCUGGGUGUUGUCACACUUUUUCUUCUCUGCUUAUCCUAUAUGGAAAGAGGGGUUUCUUAGCAUAUGUUUUAUUAUAUAUAUUUUAAUAUGAAGGUGGUUUGGUAAGUGUGAGAUCUAGAUUUCAUUUUUCUGUGAAAUGUCCGAUCAUAUACUUUGCCCAAUUUCUGUUUUGUUCUUUUUUCCCCCUCGAUUGCAUUAUGUAACCCUUUCUCCACGGUAUGAAUUGCUAAUGUAUUUUUUCUUCCUUUGUCUUUUACUCUUUUGACUUGAUAGUGAUUUUUUUUCCAAGUGGAAAUACUAAUUGAUGGCUGUUGGCAUUUUUAGCUUCUAGCUUUUGAAUCAUUCGUAGAAAUGCCAUCCUCACUUUGAGUUUCUGUUUUUAUGGUUUUAUUUUUUACAUUUAAAUCUUUCAUCCAUUUGGAGUUUAUUUUGAUAAAAAGUGUGAGGUAUGAAUCUUAGCCCUGCCCACCAUUGGCUACUUAGCUGCCCAAUACCACUCACUGAAAAAUGGAUUAUUCCUGUAUUGAUUUGAAACACUACUGUUCUCAUACACUAAAUUUCUGUUUUCUUUUCUUUUCCGUUGAUCCAUCUCUGCAUUCCCAGCAACUAAACUAAGUUGUUACAGCUUCAUAAUAUGUAAAAAUACCCAGAAGGGCUGGUCUCCCCUUUACUCUGUCUUUCUUUUUUUAAGUAGGUCCCGUGCCCAUCAAGGAGCUUGAACUCAUGACUCUGAGAUCUGGAGUCACAUGCUCCUCCAACUGAGCCAGGCAGGCAUCCCUCUAUUUUUCUUUUUAUUGUUAGAUUUUUUCCUAGCUAUUUUUGCCAGAUUCCAUUUCCAAAUGAACAUUAGAAUCAGAUUGUCUGGAUGAAAAUUCAACAGAAAUCCUGUUGGCAUAGCUUUUCUCCCUCUCUUCUCUCUGUCCCCAUUCCCAUCCCCCGUUUCUCUCCCUUCCUCCUUCCCUCCCACCCUCCUCUCUCUUCCUUCCUUCCUUCUCUUUUUUCUUUCAGGAAGGAGUGGGAGGGGCAGAGCAGGAGAGAGAGAGACAAAAUCUUAAGCAGGUUCCACACCCUGCAGGGAGCUGAUGCAAGGCUUUAUCUCAUAACCCUUAGAUCCUGACAUGAGCGGAAACCAAGAAUUGGUUGCUCAACUCACUGAACUACCGAGGUGCUCCCCACCAACAGUUAUUUUUAAAGGGACGUGGGGGGUGCCUGGGUGGCUCAGUGGGUUAAGCCUUUGCCUUCGGCUUGGGUCAUGAUCCCAGGGACCUGGGAUCGAGCCCCACAUUGGGCUCUCUGCUCGGCAGGGAGCCUGCUUCCUCCUCUCUCUCUCUCUGCCUGCCUCUCUGCCUACUUGUGAUCUCUGUCAAAUAAAUAAAUAAAAUCUUUAAAAAAAUUAAAGGGAAGAGGGAGGGCAUGAGGAGGGAAGCAAAAAAUGCAUGAGGGAGGUUGAAAGGGUUCUUAUUUCUCUGCAUCCUCAGCAACACUUGUUAUUCUUUUUUUAAAUUUUAUUUAUUAUUAUUAUUAUUAUUUUUUUAAAAGAUUUUAUUUAUUUAUUUGAGAGAGAGACAGUGAGAGAGAGCAUGAGUGAGGAGAAGGUCAGAGAGAGAAGCAGACUCCCCAUGGAG